rfam:Streptomyces albulus strain NK660, complete genome.
CUUCAAGGUCCCCAGCAGCAGCGGACGGUCCUGCGGACGGUCCUGCCCGUACGUGGCGAGCAGUGCCUGGGCCUC